UACAGAGGGGGCAAGCGUUGUUCGGAAUUACUGGGCGUAAAGGGCGCGUAGGCGGCCUGUUAAGUCGAACGUGAAAUCCCCGGGCUCAACCCGGGAACUGCGUCCGAUACUGGCAGGCUUGAAUCCGGGAGAGGGAUGCGGAAUUCCAGGUGUAGCGGUGAAAUGCGUAGAUAUCUGGAGGAACACCGGUGGCGAAGGCGGCAUCCUGGACAGUGACUGACGCUGAGACGCGAAAGCGUGGGGAGCAAACAGG
rnacentral:rRNA from 1 species